GCGAACGCUGGCGGCAGGCUUAACACAUGCAAGUCGAACGCAUCCUUCGGGGUGAGUGGCAGACGGGUGAGUAACACGUGGGAACGUACCCUUCGGUUCGGAAUAACUCAGGGAAACUUGAGCUAAUACCGGAUACGCCCUUCGGGGGAAAGAUUUAUCGCUGAAGGAUCGGCCCGCGUCUGAUUAGCUAGUUGGUGGGGUAAUGGCCUACCAAGGCGACGAUCAGUAGCUGGUCUGAGAGGAUGAUCAGCCACACUGGGACUGAGACACGGCCCAGACUCCUACGGGAGGCAGCAGUGGGGAAUAUUGGACAAUGGGCGAAAGCCUGAUCCAGCCAUGCCGCGUGAGUGAUGAAGGCCUUAGGGUUGUAAAGCUCUUUUAUCCGGGAAGAUAAUGACUGUACCGGAAGAAUAAGCCCCGGCUAACUUCGU
rnacentral:rRNA from 1 species